UACGUAGGGGGCAAGCGUUGUCCGGAAUCAUUGGGCGUAAAGCGCGUGUAGGCGGCUGAGUAAGUCCGCUCUGAAAGCCCGGGGCUCAACCCCGGGAGGCGGGUGGAUACUGCUCAGCUCGAGUCCGGAAGAGGAGUGUGGAAUUCCUGGUGUAGCGGUGAAAUGCGCAGAUAUCAGGAGGAACACCAAUGGCGAAGGCAGCACUCUGGGACGGUACUGACGCUGAGGUGCGAAAGCGUGGGGAGCAAACAGG
rnacentral:rRNA from 1 species